rnacentral:rRNA from 1 species
UACGGGGGGGGCAAGCGUUGUUCGGAAUUACUGGGCGUAAAGCGCGCGUAGGCGGCUUUGUAAGUUAGAGGUGAAAGCCCGGAGCUCAACUCCGGAACUGCCUUUAAAACUGCAUCGCUUGAAUCCAGGAGAGGUGAGUGGAAUUCCGAGUGUAGAGGUGAAAUUCGUAGAUAUUCGGAAGAACACCAGUGGCGAAGGCGGCUCACUGGACUGGUAUUGACGCUGAGGUGCGAAAGCGUGGGGAGCAAACAGG